UACGUAGGGACCGAGCGUUGUCCGGAUUCAUUGGGCGUAAAGAGCUCGUAGGCGGUCUGUCGCGUCGGCUGUGAAAACCCGGAGCUCAACUCCGGGCCUGCAGUCGAUACGGGCAAACUGGAGUGUUGCAGGGGAGACUGGAAUUCCUGGUGUAGCGGUGAAAUGCGCAGAUAUCUGGAGGAACACCGGUGGCGAAGGCGGCAUUCUGGACUGUAACUGACACUGAUGAACGAAAGCCAGGGGAGCAAACGGG
rnacentral:rRNA from 1 species